rfam:Branchiostoma floridae genomic scaffold BRAFLscaffold_13, whole genome shotgun sequence.
UUGUCCACGGUUGCAUUGUGUUGGUCUUUGUAGCGUGUGAACAAAGCAGCACUGUGCAACUGUGUAGAUG